UGAUAGGCAUGCAGUCGACGAAUCCCGGGGUAGCAAUACCUCGGGGGAAGUGGCGAAAGGGGCAGUAAUGCGUGGAUAACCUACCCUGGGGAUGGGCAUAGCCGGCCUAACGGCCGGGUAAUACCCAGCGAUUCGGUGAGGGGGCAUCUCCUUAUCGGGAAAUGAGUUUCGCCUCGGGAGGGGUCCACGUGCUAUCAGCUAGUUGGUGGGGUAACGGCCCACCAAGGCUUAGACGGCUAGCGGGUGUGAGAGCACGACCCGCGCCACUGGCACUGAGACACUGGCCAGACACCUACGGGUGGCUGCAGUCGAGGAUCUUCGUCAAUGGGCGCAAGCCUGAACGAGCGAUGCCGCGUGAGCGAUGAAGGCCUUCGGGUUGUAAAGCUCAAAAGGGGUGAGAAAGGGAAACUUGAUCGAACCCCAGUAAGCUCGGGCUAAGUUCGUGCCAGCAGCCGCGGUAAGACGAACCGAGCGAACGUUGUUCGGAAUCACUGGGCUUAAAGGGCGCGUAGGCGGGUGCUCAAGUCUGUGGUGAAAUCCUCCGGCUCAACCGGAGAACUGCCUCGGAUACUGGGUGCCUCGAGGGUGGUAGGGGUAUGCGGAACUAUCGGUGGAGCGGUGAAAUGCGUUGAUAUCGAUAGGAACUCCGGUGGCGAAGGCGGCAUACUGGACCACAUCUGACGCUGAGGCGCGAAAGCCAGGGGAGCAAACGGGAUUAGAUACCCCGGUAGUCCUGGCCCUAAACGAUGGGUACUAGCUAGUAGGGUUCACAUGGCUUUACUGGCGAAGCAAAAGUGCUAAGUACCCCGCCUGGGGAGUAUGGUCGCAAGGCUUGAAACUCAAAAGGAAU
rnacentral:rRNA from 1 species